rnacentral:tRNA from 1 species
GCCUAUAGCUCAGUUGGUUAGAGCAUCUGACUCAUAAUCAGAGGGUCUGGGGUUCGAGUCCCUGUGGGC